AUCCUGAAGCCUUCUACUCCAGUCCCCAUGCCUGAGAGUGAGGAGGUUGGGGAGAGCACCGAGGAGCAGGAAGAGGCUCCCAAAUCAGUCCUGGGCAGAGUGAAAAUCUUCGAGAAGAUGGACCACAAGGCGAAAUUACAGAGGAUGCAGGAGCUCCAAGAAGCACAGAAUGCGAGGAUUUGCCGUAGCAGCCAUUGGGCUUGUGGGCUGUAGUUUUUUUAG
rnacentral:lncRNA from 1 species